rnacentral:lncRNA from 1 species
CUGAAUUAAUCUGUUCAGAAUGAACAAGCAGAAUAGUCUUUGGAUUUGAUCCAAAUCCCUGAAGCACUUUGGGAAUGAGAAUGGCUAUGCCAGACAGAGAGACCCUGGCGACUUAUGAUACUGCAGAACACAACAGGCACUUCAGAUUGGUCCCAGUUAAGUUGAGGGAGAGCAGUGAUAUUGAGCAGUCAGCUAAAGAAACAAAGCUGUAGAGGCAAAAGAAAGCAGUAUAGAGAUUUAUUCUCCCACUGGCAUGAAAGCUGUGAUUCUGACCACCUUCUACAUCACUGUCUACCACCCCUACACCAGCUCUUAGAAGACAGAGUAACUACAGGGAUGCUGUGGUACCUGGAGUGAUGCCAGACUGCAGAGGCCACCUGGUGACAUGAGGAGAGAUUCAACUUAACAUGGUGAGGAUGGCAGAGUAGAGCUAAAGUGGAAAAAGCAUUUCCCUGAUGAAUUUAAGAAGCUACUGAAU